UGGGGAAUUUUCCGCAAUGGGCGAAAGCCUGACGGAGCAAUACCGCGUGAGGGAGGAAGGCUUUUGGGUUGUAAACCUCUUUUAAUAAGGAAGAAGAAGUGACGGUACUUAUUGAAUCAGCAUCGGCUAACUCCGUGCCAGCAGCCGCGGUAAUACGGAGGAUGCAAGCGUUAUCCGGAAUCAUUGGGCGUAAAGCGUCCGCAGGUGGCAAGUCAAGUCUGCUGUUAAAGACAGAAGCUCAACUUCUGAUCGGCAGUGGAAACUGGUUUGCUUGAGUAUGGUAGGGGUUGAGGGAAUUCCCAGUGUAGCGGUGAAAUGCGUAGAGAUUGGGAAGAACACCAGUGGCGAAGGCGCUCAACUGGGCCAUAACUGACACUCAGGGACGAAAGCUAGGGUAGCGAAAGGGAUUAGAUACCCCCGUAGUCC
rnacentral:rRNA from 1 species